UGAAACUCCAAAGAAGAAGAAGAGCAAGACGCGUCAGACUACAUGUGCGCAAAGAUAUUUGACUCUGCACACCUGUGUGACCCCCUGCAAAGUUUUUCUUGGGUUGGUUUUGACGGUGGGACGUCUUACCUUUUCAACGGCUGGUAAAGGUCCUUAAUGAAAAGUGUGUUUUGUGUUCCUGCCAAGGUGCUUUACUCACAAUAGUAGCAAUUGAUCAGAGACAAACCCAUGAUUGCAGAGUUCAAGACCAGAUGGCCAGGACUGUUCACUGUGCCUGAGGUAUAAACUGCUUCUUAAAACAUCCAUAAUCAAUGUUAUA